GCACAGUUACCUCAGUUGGUAGAGCAUGGGACCCUUAAUCUCAGGGUCAUGGGUUCAAGCCUGCACUGAGCA
rnacentral:tRNA from 1 species